UGCAAACAAGGGGUGUAACUGAAAAAUGCCAUGUUUCCAGGUUGAUCUUACCAGUUUACCUGUGAGAUGAUGGUGUAGGUGUGGAAGUCUGCGGUGGGAUCAAACCAGAGCUUGUAUUGCUUCUCUCUGCCACCUUUCCCUCUGGCAUACAGGUUGGUGUGCAGGGUGUAGGGCUCGCCAGUGAUGUUCCCCAAGAACUCGAGGUCAAUCUCAUCAUGAAACUGCCACAGCCCUUCUGUUAUCAUCUGUUCCCAGAUUUCAACACAAGUGAAUGACCGACACUCUCCAGUCUAGAAACCCUACUGAUGCAAGUGAUAUGGUGAGGCGCUCUUCCAUAGACAAAAUGAUCUACAAGUCAAAAAGGGGUGGUUAUGAUGAGGAAGUAUGAAAUUAACUACUGCUGGGGCUUGAUUGUUCAAACAGAUUAUAUCGCUGAAGUUACAUCAAGCAGCUGCAUUUCUUCAUGCCGUCUUCUGGAAUUCGGAGGAGUAUGCCGGAUCGCCAGUAUUUUUCACUUGCCAGAUUGUCAUUCUUACAUGUCCUGCGUUGACUCCGCUUACAAUCAGCACGCCAUUUUAUUUAAACUACCUUUCUGUCUGUGUAGAAGACCGUGAAGCUUUGCAGGGCCUGCAGUAUUUAACCAAGUUAACAUGGCAGAUGGGCCGUAAGAUAUCGAUGUACGUAUUUCUAGUGUCUGCUACCUUAUGUAAUUAAUGGCGACUGUUUUUUUUAUAGGUGUGAGAUCAGACGGGCAAGCGCUUGAGAUCGCAUCGAUUCAUGCUGCUGUGAUUUGGAUUAGUAAAAGGCAUUUUUAUUUCAUCAGUUUUCCUUCCUGGCUUUGCAAAUUCCUAGGCACAUGAGAGGUGUCGGCAUCAUUUUUGUCCAUGGAGCCGGCGGUGCUUCCGGUCCUGCCAAGCAUAGCAUGUGUACGCACCGUGUGCUCUGAGGUACAGGCAACUGCGUCUUAGCUUCCCUUUGUUUAAUACUCCUUCUGUUUUAUAACGUAACAUGUUUAACUCUUUUGAUUACAAUGUUUGACCAUUUCUUAUUCAAAAAUUAUGGAAAUAUUAUUUAUUUUG